rnacentral:tmRNA from 1 species
GGGGGCGAAAUUGGCUUCGACAGGGAUUUUGAGCUUUAAGUAGCGAGCCGCUAUUGGAUCAUAUAGCGUUAAACAGGUCCAAAAAAAUAAACGACGAAAAUAAUUUCGCAUUUGCAGCCUAAGUAAAGGCUACUAUCCGACUUGAGUCUCCCGCAGCUUGAGAAGGGUAUCAAAUUAAGCGGGGAACCGCACCAGACUAGGCACCAUAAUCUGGGACGGAAUUUAUGAUGCUAGCGGUUAUUUUUUUGACUAUUUAGUUAAUAAUCGUGAAAAUUAAAAAAUAGUCUGCACUCGGAGAAACUUUUUGCAGACGAAUCUUUGGACGUGGGUUCGACACCCACCGCCUCCACCA